UACAGAGGGUGCGAGCGUUAAUCGGAAUUACUGGGCGUAAAGGGCGCGUAGGCGGCUAGAUAAGUGAGGUGUGAAAGGCUUGGGCUUAACCUGGGCACUGCACUUUAGACUGUAUAGCUGGAGUAUGGUAGAGGAAGGCGGAAUUUCCGGUGUAGCGGUGAAAUGCGUAGAUAUCGGAAAGAACACCAAAGGCGAAAGCGCUCUGCUGGGCCGAAACUGACACUGAGAGACGAAAGCUAGGGGAGCGAAUGGG
rnacentral:rRNA from 1 species